UACGUAGGGGGCGAGCGUUGUCCGGAUUUAUUGGGCGUAAAGAGCUCGUAGGCGGUUUGGCAAGUCGGGGGUGAAAACUCCGGGCUCAACUCGGAGACGCCACUCGAUACUGCCAUGACUCGAGUCCGGUAGGGGAGUGCGGAAUUCCUGGUGUAGCGGUGAAAUGCGCAGAUAUCAGGAGGAACACCGGUGGCGAAGGCGGCACUCUGGGCCGGUACUGACGCUGAGGCGCGAAAGCUGGGGGAGCAAACGGG
rnacentral:rRNA from 1 species